rnacentral:rRNA from 1 species
UACAGAGGGGGCAAGCGUUAUUCGGAAUUAUUGGGCGUAAAGGGCGCGUAGGCGGCUUGGCAAGUGGAUGGUGAAAUCCCUGGGCUCAACCCAGGAACUGCGUCCAAGACUGGGAGGCUUGAAUCCGGGAGAGGGAUGCGGAAUUCCAGGUGUAGCGGUGAAAUGCGUAGAUAUCUGGAGGAACACCGGUGGCGAAGGCGGCAUCCUGGACCGGUAUUGACACUGAGGCGCGAAAGCCAGGGGAGCAAACGGG